UAAAUUGGUAAUAUAAAACUAUUCUUCGCUGUAAAUUAAUUGUGUGCUCAAUUGCGACGCCCUAUGUUGAAUUUUCCCGCGAGUACAGUAUCAUUACUGAGGGGAAAUAUAACAUUAUUCAUUUAAUUCCACAAAAGGCCUGUAACGUACUGCAGCUUCCUGCAGGCAACGUGAAACAUUGCUGAGGGAGAACUUUAUUCACAACAAAAGGAUAAAGAUGAAGAGGCGGGACUUGAGCAGCUUGUGAUGGCUGUAAUUGUAAAGAAUGGAUCUUCUAGGAGUGGCAGCCCAAGGGAUGCUGGAAUUGUUAUUGAGGCCUUAAAGGUGUUCACGGGGCAUGCUUUAUCCUCACUGGAUUGGAUUGGAUCUAUGCAUUGAAUCUCCAGUAUCCCAGGCAUCUUUUCAGGUGUUUCAGAAACUUUUCUUGGAGCUGGAUUCUUCAAAGUUUAUGAACUGAUUACAGUACAGUAAGUCUAAACUGCUGUCUGAUUUUCUGGGUGUGAAUCAAUGUAACAGAACACAAACAUGGAACCUUGUGAACGGGAAAUGUGGACGGUUUCUUUAAAGACUGUAAAAUACUUUUUGAAUUGUACACUGUUACAAAUACAUCAUUAAAAUGAGAUGCUUUCCUGUUCUUUUGACUGCAAUAAAAUAAGAAUUGAUUCAUCUUUGUCUGUCAUUCUGAAAUCAGAUAUAAUACUCAUUACUAAUAAAAAUAUUAAUGGAUGAUGUUAAAUUAAAAUAGUAUAAUUGAAUAGAAUUUAUUGUAUAGUGCUAGGUCUUUGUCCUGUAUACCCAAUAUUUUGUUUAAAUUUAAAUUAAUUUCUAAUUGCAAAUUGCAGAUUACCUUUUUGAAUGGGUUACUAUUAAGGAGUUUAUGUAGUGAUUCUAACACAAUUUUUAUUUGUGGAAUUUAAUUAAUGAUAUUGCUUGUAAUCUGUUGCCACACUUUUAUUGAGUAGAUAUGGCAUAAUAUUUUUUAUUGUAUAGUGCUAGAUCUUUGUCUAGUAUACACAAUAUUUUUGUUUAAAUUUUAAUAAAAAUUUUAAUUGCAAA